GUUAAAGACUACUAUAAAAAAGAAAAAAAAGAACUUCCUUCCGGUUCAGCUGCUACGAAGAAAAAAAAAUAUGUUUAUUUUGAAAUGCUUGGGUUUCUGGAUAAAACUAUUGAACGUAGAAGUUGAUGAUUUACAAAAAAAGUGGAAGAAUGUUAAAGACUACUAUAAAAAAGAAAAAAAAGAACUUCCUUCCGGUUCAGCUGCUACGAAGAAAAAAAAAUAUGUUUAUUUUGAAAUGCUUGGGUUUCUGGAUAAAACUAUUGAACGUAGAAGUUGAUGAUUUACAAAAAAAGUGGAAGAAUGUUAAAG